UACGGGGGGGGCAAGCGUUGUUCGGAAUUACUGGGCGUAAAGGGCUCGUAGGUGGCCAACUAAGUCAGACGUGAAAUCCCUCGGCUUAACCGGGGAACUGCGUCUGAUACUGGAUGGCUUGAGGUUGGGAGAGGGAUGCGGAAUUCCAGGUGUAGCGGUGAAAUGCGUAGAUAUCUGGAGGAAUACCGGUGGCGAAGGCGGCAUCCUGGACCGACAUUGACGCUGAACGGCGAAAGCUAGGGGAGCAAACGGG
rnacentral:rRNA from 1 species